rnacentral:rRNA from 1 species
GGCCUACGGGGGGCUGCAGUGAGGGAUAUUGCACAAUGGGGGAAACCCUGAUGCAGCGACGCCGCGUGAGUGAAGAAGGCCUUCGGGUCGUAAAGCUCUUUUCUGCGUGACGAGGAAGGACGGUAGCGCAGGAAUAAGUCUCGGCUAACUACGUGCCAGCAGCCGCGGUAAAACGUAGGAGACAAACGUUAUCCGGAGUUACUGGGCGUAAAGGGCGUGCAGGCGGCGCUUUAAGUUCGGCGUGAAAGCUCCUGGCUAAACCGGGAGAGGUCGUCGGAAACUGGAGUGCUAGAGGGUGAUAGAGGCGGGUGGAAUUCCGGGUGUAGUGGUGAAAUGCGUAGAGAUCCGGAGGAACACCAGUGGCGAAGGCGACCCGCUGGGUCACACCUGACGCUGAGACGCGACAGCAUGGGGAGCGAACGGGAUUAGAUACCCGAGUAGUCCU